rnacentral:rRNA from 1 species
AACCUCCGCAAUGUGAGAAAUCGCGACGGGGGGAUCCCAAGUGCCAUUCUUAACGGGAUGGCUUUUCAUUAGUGUAAAGAGCUUUUGGAAUAAGAGCUGGGCAAGACCGGUGCCAGCCGCCGCGGUAACACCGGCAGCUCUAGUGGUAACAAUUUUUAUUGGGCCUAAAGCGUUCGUAGCCGGUUUGAUAAGUCACUGGUGAAAUCCUGUAGCUUAACUGUGGGAAUUGCUGGUGAUACUGUUGAACUUGAGGUCGGGAGAGGUUAGCGGUACUCCCAGGGUAGAGGUGAAAUUCUGUAAUCCUGGGAGGACCACCUGUGGCGAAGGCGGCUAACUGGAACGAACCUGACGGUGAGGGACGAAAGCUAGGGGCGCGAACCGGAUUAGAUACCCGGGUAGUCCUAACUGUAAACGAUGCGGACUUGGUGUUGGGGUGGCUUUGAGCUGCUUCAGUGCCGAAGGGAAGCUGUUAAGUCCGCCGCCUGGGAAGUACGGUCGCAAGACUGAAACUUAAAGGAAGU